UUGGAGGGCAAGUCUGGUGCCAGCAGCCGCGGUAAUUCCAGCUCCAAUAGCGUAUAUUAAAGUUGUUGUGGUUAAAAAGCUCGUAGUUGAACCUUGGGCCUGGCUGGCCGGUCCGCCUCACCGCGUGUACUGGUCCGGCCGGGCCUUUCCCUCUGUGGAACCCCAUGCCCUUCACUGGGUGUGGCGGGGAAACAGGACUUUUACUGUGAAAAAAUUAGAGUGCUCCAGGCAGGCCUAUGCUCGAAUACAUUAGCAUGGGAUAAUAGAAUAGGA
rnacentral:rRNA from 1 species